UUAAGUGAAUAAGGGCGCACGGUGGAUGCCUUGGCACUAGGAGCCGACGAAGGACGUAACGAACGACGAUACGCUUUGGGGAGUGGUAAGUACACUUUGAUCCAGAGAUUUCCGAAUGGGGGAACCCAGCAUCUUUUAUAGGAUGUUAUCCAUGAGUGAAUACAUAGCUCAUGAGAAGGUAGACGCAGAGAACUGAAACAUCUAAGUACCUGCAGGAAGAGAAAGCAAACGCGAUUUCCUUAGUAGCGGCGAGCGAAACGGAAAGAGGCCAAACCAAGAAGCUUGCUUCUUGGGGUUGUAGGACUCAGCUGUGGUAGCUGUAUUUUAUAGACGAAGUUUCUGGAAAGAAACACCGUAGGGGGUAAUAGUCCCGUAGUCGAAAUAAAGUGCACACCUAUGAGUAUCCUGAGUACGGCUAGACACGAGAAAUCUAGUCGGAAUCCGGGAGGACCAUCUCCCAAGCCUAAAUACUCCCUAGUGACCGAUAGUGAACCAGUACCGUGAGGGAAAGGUGAAAAGCACCCCGGAAGGGGAGUGAAAUAGAACCUGAAACCGUGUGCCUACAACAAGUUCGAGCUCGUUAAUGAGUGAGAGCGUGCCUUUUGUAGAAUGAACCGGCGAGUUACGAUUGCAUGCAAGGUUAAGUUGAAGAAACGGAGCCGUAGCGAAAGCGAGUCUUAAUAGGGCGUCUAGUAUGUAGUCGUAGACCCGAAACCAGGUGAUCUAGCCAUGGCCAGGUUGAAGUUUAGGUAACACUAAAUGGAGGACCGAACCUACGCACGUUGAAAAGUGCGAGGAUGAGCUGUGGUUAGGGGUGAAAUUCCAAUCGAACCUGGAGAUAGCUGGUUCUCCCCGAAAUAGCUUUAGGGCUAGCCUUGAUUGAAGUCUUUUGGAGGUAGAGCACUGAAUGUAUGAUGGCCCCGUCUUGGGGUACUGAGUAUAAUCAAACUCCGAAUGCCAAAAAGAUAUGAUCAGGAGUCAGACAGUGGGUGAUAAGGUCCAUUGUCGAAAGGGAAACAGCCCAGAUCACCAGCUAAGGUCCCAAAGUAUAUGCUAAGUGGAAAAGGAUGUAGAGUUGCACAGACAGCUAGGAGGUUGGCUUAGAAGCAGCCAUCCUUCAAAGAGUGCGUAACAGCUCACUAGUCGAGUGACUCUGCGCCGAAAAUUUACCGGGGCUAAGCAUAACACCGAAGCUGUGGACAGAAAUGUGGUAGGGGAGCGUUCUAAUUGAGAAGAAGCCAUACCGUAAGGAGUGAGUGGAUUGAUUAGAAGUGAGAAUGCCGGUGUGAGUAGCGAAUUAGGGUGAGAAUCCCUAACACCGAUUGACUAAGGAUUCCUGGGUAAAGCUCGUCUUCCCAGGGUAAGUCGGGACCUAAGGCGAGGCCGAGAGGCGUAGUCGAUGGACAGCAGGUAGAGAUUCCUGCACCUCUAAUAAGAGUGAUGGAGUGACAAAGAAGGCUAGUCUGCGCUAGCGAUUGGAUGUUAGUUGGCUAUGAUAGAAGGGACAUUGGCAAAUCCGUGUCUAGGAUUCAAACAUAGUCGAGAUACACUUUCGGGUGUAGAACAGAUGACGCCAGCUUUCAAGAAAAGCUUCUAGCAUAUUUUAUUAGAGCCCGUACCGAGAACGAACACACGUAGUCAGGUAGAGAAUACCAAGGUGAGCAAGAGAACCAUUGUUAAGGAACUCGGCAAAAUGACUCCGUAACUUAGGGAGAAGGAGUGCUUAGCGCAAGCUAAGCCGCAGUGAAUAGGCCCAAGCGACUGUUUACCAAAAACACAGCUCUCUGCAAAGUCGCAAGACGAAGUAUAGGGGGUGACGCCUGCCCGGUGCUGGAAGGUUAAGGGGAAAUGUUAGCGUAAGCGAGGCAUAGAACCGAAGCCCCAGUAAACGGCGGCCGUAACUAUAACGGUCCUAAGGUAGCGAAAUUCCUUGUCGGGUAAGUUCCGACCCGCACGAAAGGCGUAACGAUCUGGGCACUGUCUCAACAAGGGACUCGGUGAAAUCAUAGUACCUGUGAAGAUGCAGGUUACCCGCGACAGGACGGAAAGACCCCGUGGAGCUUUACUGCAGCUUGAUAUUGAACUUCGGCAGUGCAUGUACAGGAUAGGUAGGAGGCAAGGAAACCGGGACGCCAGUCUCGGAGGAGCCGCUGUUGGGAUACUACCCUUGUGCUGUUGGGGUUCUAACCCGCAACCGUUAACCGGUUGGGGGACAGUGUCAGGCGGGCAGUUUGACUGGGGCGGUCGCCUCCCAAAGCGUAACGGAGGCGCCCAAAGGUUCCCUCAGAAUGGUUGGAAAUCAUUCGAAGAGUGCAAAGGCAGAAGGGAGCUUGACUGCGAGACCAACAAGUCGAGCAGGGACGAAAGUCGGGCUUAGUGAUCCGGCGGUACCGAAUGGAAGGGCCGUCGCUCAACGGAUAAAAGCUACCCCGGGGAUAACAGGCUGAUCUCCCCCAAGAGUUCACAUCGACGGGGAGGUUUGGCACCUCGAUGUCGGCUCAUCGCAUCCUGGGGCUGUAGUCGGUCCCAAGGGUUGGGCUGUUCGCCCAUUAAAGCGGUACGCGAGCUGGGUUCAGAACGUCGUGAGACAGUUCGGUCCCUAUCCGUCGUGGGCGCAGGAAAUUUGAGAGGAGCUGUCCUUAGUACGAGAGGACCGGGAUGGACACACCGCUGGUGUACCAGUUGUUCCGCCAGGGGCAUGGCUGGGUAGCUACGUGUGGCAGGGAUAAACGCUGAAAGCAUCUAAGCGUGAAGCCCCCCUCAAGAUGAGAUUUCCCACUGUUUACAGUUAAGAUCCCUCGCAGACGACGAGGUGGAUAGGCCAGGAGUGGAAGUGCGGCGACGCAUGCAGCGGACUGGUACUAAUCGAUCGAGGACUUAACCAC
rnacentral:rRNA from 1 species